rnacentral:rRNA from 1 species
UGCCAGACUCCUACGGGAGGCAGCAGUGGGGGAUAUUGCACAAUGGGGGAAACCCUGAUGCAGCGACGCCGCGUGGGUGAAGAAGCGCCUCGGCGCGUAAAGCCCUGUCAGCAGGGAAGAAAAUGACGGUACCUGAAGAAGAAGCCCCGGCUAACUACGUGCCAGCAGCCGCGGUAAUACGUAGGGGGCAAGCGUUAUCCGGAUUCACUGGGUGUAAAGGGAGCGUAGACGGCGACGCAAGUCUGGAGUGAAAGCCCGGGGCCCAACCCCGGGACUGCCCUGGAAACUGCGUCGCUGGAGUACGGGAGGGGCAGGCGGAAUUCCUGGUGUGGCGGUGAAAUGCGUAGAUAUUAGGAGGAACACCAGUGGCGAAGGCGACUUUCUGGACUGUACCUGACGCUGAGGCGCGAAAGCGUGGGUAGCGAACGGGAUUAGAUACCCCAGUAC